rnacentral:lncRNA from 1 species
UAUGAUUGCCAAUGAGACAACUAUCCACAAAAGACCAAAAUGACACAGACAUUAACAACUAUAGGUCACCGUACGGCCUUCAACAAUGAGCAAAGCCCAUAACGCAUAGGCAGCUAUAAAAGGCCCCGAUAAGACAAUAUAAAACAAUUCAAACGAGAAAACUAACGGCCUUAUUUAUGUAAAAAAAUGAACGAACAACAAAUAUGUAACACAUAAACAAACGACAACCACUGAAUUACAGGCUCCUGACUUGGGG